rnacentral:rRNA from 1 species
GACGAACGCUGGCGGCGUGCUUAACACAUGCAAGUCGAACGGAAAGGCCUGCUUUUGUGGGGUGCUCGAGUGGCGAACGGGUGAGUAACACGUGAGUAACCUGCCCUUGACUUUGGGAUAACUUCAGGAAAUUGGGGCUAAUACCGGAUAGGAGCUCCUGCUGCAUGGUGGGGGUUGGAAAGUUUCGGCGGUUGGGGAUGGACUCGCGGCUUAUCAGCUUGUUGGUGGGGUAGUGGCUUACCAAGGCUUUGACGGGUAGCCGGCCUGAGAGGGUGACCGGCCACAUUGGGACUGAGAUACGGCCCAGACUCCUACGGGAGGCAGCAGUGGGGAAUAUUGCACAAUGGGCGGAAGCCUGAUGCAGCAACGCCGCGUGCGGGAUGACGGCCUUCGGGUUGUAAACCGCUUUCGCCUGUGACGAAGCGUGAGUGACGGUAAUAGGUAAAGAAGCACCGGCUAACUACGUG